rnacentral:rRNA from 1 species
UGGGGAAUAUUGCACAAUGGGGGAAACCCUGAUGCAGCGACGCCGCGUGAGCGAAGAAGGUUUUCGAAUCGUAAAGCUCUGUCCUAUGAGAAGAUAAUGACGGUAUCAUAGGAGGAAGCCCCGGCUAAAUACGUGCCAGCAGCCGCGGUAAUACGUAGGGUGCGAGCGUUGUCCGGAAUUACUGGGCGUAAAGAGCUCGUAGGCGGUUUGUCACGUCGUCUGUGAAAUCCUAGGGCUUAACCCUGGACGUGCAGGCGAUACGGGCUGACUUGAGUACUACAGGGGAGACUGGAAUUUCUGGUGUAGCGGUGGAAUGCACAGAUAUCAGGAAGAACACCGAUGGCGAAGGCAGGUCUCUGGGUAGUAACUGACGCUGAGGAGCGAAAGCAUGGGUAGCGAACAGG